rnacentral:rRNA from 1 species
UACGGAGGGUGCAAGCGUUGUCCGGAUUUAUUGGGUUUAAAGGGUGCGUAGGCGGCAGAUUAAGUCAGCGGUGAAAUUCCUCAGCUCAACUGAGGAACUGCCAUUGAUACUGGUUUGCUUGAGUACAGAUGAGGUAGGCGGAAUUGACAGUGUAGCGGUGAAAUGCUUAGAUAUUGUCAAGAACACCUAUUGCGAAGGCAGCUUACUAAGCUGUAACUGACGCUGAGGCACGAAAGCGUGGGGAUCAAACAGG